GUGUGAGAGAAGUUUUUUUUUUGCCUUCUUGAAUUGAUGAGUGCAAGAGGUGAGGUUUCGGACAAUAAGAAAUAUUUUUCAUAUUUAAGAUUUAAAAAAAUAACUUUUUAAAAUCUCAACGAUCAAAUAAAGAAUUAAUAAUUUCCUAAAGCAUUUGUUGAAAUAUCGACCAAAAUAUAUAGAAGUUUAUUCAUAUGAAUAUAUAAAAGUGCUCGCCAGAGCAAAGAACUUCCGAAUAUCAAAAACAAAUAAUAAUAAUAAUGAGCCGAGUUUUUGUGUUCGAUUGACAUUUCACCAACCGUUUCUGAAGUACAGAUCUGUAGAAAGACUAAUAAUUAUAGAUAUUAAUAAUGCACAUAAUAUUUGUUAAAAAAUAAACUAAUAUAAAAAGUAUAAAUUUGUCUAAAAUGGUAGGCCUUAGAAGGCACGUUUAAACAAAUCAAGAAGUCAAAAAUGUGCUAUCAAUUGUGUAAAAUUUUCUGACAACCUGCGAAUUUAUAAACAAAGCAGUACAAAAUGAGAAGAUCAAGCAAUAAAUUCUGCAAAUGUUCAGUCAAAAAUUAAAAUUGUAUGUGUUUGAUUCUUGAACAUUUGAAUAUCAUUAAAAGCUUCGGCAUAGGCGUAAACAUGUAACACUUAACGCAACCUGCAACAACAGGCAUCAAUAAGAUACUAAGAGUAAUGCAGUAGCAAUUUCAAUGGUGCACGCAAUGUCAUCUGUAGAGCAGCCGUACCCAAUCAUCAACACAACUGUCCUGGUUAUAUGAUUGUUUUUUAUUAUUAUCAUUCGCCUUUCUUCUUUUAUUACUAAUCGUGUAUUAUCAUAACAUUUUUUCCUUUUGUUUCUUUUUCAAAUUUAACACAACUUGUAAUUUUUAUAAAUUAUAUAAAAUCUUACAUUCAUUUCGUUUUGCUACAAUCACUAAUAAAUCAUGGUUACUCAAUCUGUUGAAAGUGAAUAAAAAUGUGAUGACUUAUCUACUAUUAAUGAGGGAAAAGUAGGUUUAAGUGCCUGAAGACGCAACUUCGGCAUCUUCCACAAAAAUUUAUGGGCGGAAGAUGAUCAGGGUGUUUAUGCACAUGUGUUUUAUACUGGAAACCAUCUGUGGAAUGCCUAUUGGAUAGGACUUGCAAUCCUGCCAUUAUUUCCGAACCAGCUAGCUUACCAUGGCGCGUGCAGUUGUCCCUUAUCACCUCCCAGUUCCGAUGUUUUGACCUUUUUGACAGUUCUACUACAAAUUGUGCAGGUUAUAAAAAAACUAGCUCUGCUACUUUGCAAAAACUUGUCAACAAGAGAUGCCGGAUUUUUAAUAAAUUGUAACAACUGUUCCGUAUCCAAACUUGUUUCAGCCUUAUAAAAAACAAGCUAUGCACAUGAAUUUUAUACUCAUUGCGUCGGCGUUGCGAAAUUUAAAAAUAUACAGAACUUUUAGAAAACGAAGCAUGAACUAAAUAUACCUGCAUUGGAAUAUUUUUAUUUUUUAAUCUGACCAGUCACUCAAAGAGUAUCCCUUAUUCGCAUAACGCGGUGACAGCCAGAAAGGAGUGAGGAAAGAAAAAGAAAAAAAGAAAUAUGAAGGUGGUGCCCGGAGUCUAGUGGAUGCAGGCUCAAUCGAUAAAUGCUAUGUCUUUACCGACAUAACACUCACUAUGUUACUACCAAAGUAAACUCGCUUUUCACGAAGGCAAUUGAUAUGAAACAGUUUAGAAAAACGUAUAACAAUUCUAGGAUUCGCUGAUUGAAAGCGGGUGGCAGAAUAUACACAUUUAUCACCUGUGCGUCAUGUGUCCAGUUAGAUUAUGUAUUUGCUAGCUACGUAAAGUGUUUGUUGGAUCACGUUGUCUUUUUUAUAUCAAGUAUUCUGUAGUCUUCUAAAAGCCAACUCCGAAGGUUCAUUGUAUUUCUCUAAAAUAAAAUUUUGCUAAGCUUAUCUGUUUAUCGUUUUUCGUAAAGCAUGUGUAUAUUUGGUCAGUAUCAAAUUACGAGGUGCUUCGUCUGUGCAAACAUUAUCCUGAUCGCAAGAAUGAAGAUGUGCGUUUCGAGCUGGUAGAAUCGUUGAAAGUUCUUGCAUGGCGAAGGACGCGCCUAUAGUACAACGUAAACUCAGAACACCUCUAUUUUCUGGCUUUUUAAUUUAUUAACUCAGAAGUUACAAUAGACACACGAUACAAAUUUCCACGUAGGUUCUACAAAAAUCUAUAAAAGUAGCCACACCUACUCAAUAUUAUAGAAAAUUUAGUUUCUCCUUCUUUUUUUAUCUCUAUUAGUAUAAAGGUGAUGAGUAUGAGAGAUUGGGCAAGACAAGUUCAGUUCGUACAAAAUAUAUGAGGGUGAAAAUGUUUGAAUUGAAAAGAUAUAAUUGCGAGCAAACAUGAUCUAUUUGAUUUCAUUGGGAUUAAGAGAUUGCGAUGUCAUUAGAGAUUAGGAUGGUGUUUUUAUUUCUCUGGCUAGCUCAGUUGACGUGACAAAAGAAAAAUUAAUGUUCAGUAUUGUAUUUAAACGCACAUACAUAAGCCUAUCGGUUUAACAUAUUUGAGUAUUUCACGUCCGCACUUCUGUCCUCUGCCUUUAAGACAGACUGAAAGACUAAACUUUUGUUUUCAGUUAGCCUGUAUGUCUAACUGCCUGUCCGCCACAUUGCAGUCCCGUCUCCCAUUAUUCUCUUACCACACACUGACUAUACUGUCAACAUGAAACCGUUGCACUCAUUUGCCUACCAGCACUCGAUAUUUUCUUGUAUCCAAAAAAAAAAAAAAAAAAAAAA